rnacentral:lncRNA from 1 species
UCCCCUCAGAGUUUGGGACUCCCACGGGUCAGGUCCGCAGAACGUCCCUCGGCCUCCCCGUCCCACUCCGGCCAUCUCGGAGAGGAAUCCGCCUCCGAGCCCCGGGAGCACUCUUCCUCUGAGCGCCUUCUGGUCCCCCCAAAUCUGCCCCUCGCCUCCCCAUUCCCCCCUCGAUGCCGCGUUCGCUGCGCCGAUCCCAACUCACCGAUCGGAACCCGAGGUCCAGUCCCGAACCCGCAAGUCUUCCUUCCGAUUACAAGCCCUCCCGAAUAGUCCCCCAAAUCCGCCCUGGGCACGAGUGCGAGUCAAGGUCCGGGAAUCCAGAAUCCGGGAAGAGUGGGAGGAGGAGGCCGAGGGUGAGCCGGCUGCCCAGUGACUGUGGCCUGUUUGGGAAGCGCUGGAAGUUUUUAUCCGCCCCCUCCCUCCUGGCUGGGGUGGAGUCUGGGCGGAUUCCCGGCCCCCGGGAGCAGAAACGCCCAGGGCUGCCCCGCCGACUCAGCAGCCCGAGAGGGAGCGGGCAGGCUGGUGACGCAACCUUCACCUGGCACCCCGGGUCGAGGGCGGGGGGCGGGGGUCACUCCCCGCAUCCAGCCCCGGCUCCCCCUGCCCACUCAGACGCGCGUCGCUACGCGGAGGCUCGAGCCUUCCUCCCCAGGGUCCGCCACCGGCCCCGGCCUUCCCCGGCCGCCCUCUGCCCUUCUGCCCUUUUCCGUCCCCCGGCGCUGGCGCCGAGCGUAGCCAGGUCUGUUUCCCUGUAUGCCUUUGUCCCCCUUCCUCUGGACUUCCAGGUCUUGUGUCAAACGUUCUCCCGUUGUUUCCAGGUCUCUCCAGCUCCCUGUUCCUGUCUAUUCCUGGCCGCUGCUGCUAUGGCCUCGUGUCUCCCUUUUGUGUCCGCCCAUCGGGGCACUGGAGAUCCCAGAAUCUGCCUCAGCCUGGAGGUGACCUUGUCCUGGGGAGGGGGGUGCAGAGGGGCUGUACUUCGCUCCCAGGGGCUGACGGGAGAACGAGAGCAGGAAUGCUUAAUAAACAACAAAGCCGAGGGGCCCAGGAACGACCCUGGGGCUGGACCCCAGAGUUCCCACUGGUAAGGUACCUUGGAGUCCAGACCUUUCGUUUUACAGACGGGAAAACUGAGCCCGAGAGAGAGAGAGAGAGGAAGAGACUGGGUCCCAAGGUCAUCCAGCUCUGCUGCUGCAGACAGGACUUGGACCGAUGCCCACUAAGCCGAGCUCUCUCCUGCGUGCCUGACUGCCUGGGAGUCAGGAGACCCAGCUCUGAACCAGGGAGUCCAGGCCCCGCCCUGAAAUGAUGAGGCACCCUCCUGCUUGCCUCGGAGAGGAAGAACAGCCUCAACACAGAGAACUCUGGGGCCCAUCAGACAACGAAUGUUAUCAGCAAAUCAGCAAGCAUUUAUUUAUUUAAAAUUUUUCCCACUCAAGAGUAUUUUUUUCCAAUUACAUAUAAACAUAAAAAAUAUAAAAAUUU